rnacentral:lncRNA from 1 species
ACAUGAUUCAUCCUUUCUGCAGGCAUGAGUCACUCUAAUGGAGGUGGGAGAACAGGAGGCGUGGUGGGAGGCCCAACCCGGACAAGCCAUAUCCACGUUCACAAGGGCCCCUUGGAACCUGAGGAUCCAUGUCCCACAUGGCCUUCCCUUUUUUUGCACCAGAUAUACUUUCUCUCCCCUGACCAAGAUGGGGCAGUUCCCUGGGAAAUCACUCCAGAGCUGCCCACACUGCAGAAUACAGGUCCCUUGUGUCACAGCCUGGUUGCUCACUGAACACUGCCCAUUGGAAAGACCCAAGGCCCUAACACAAACUGGCUAGUGCUAGAGGAGAAGGCCACACCUGUUGGGCAGAAACAAUAUUCAGGGACUAGGGUUGUCGAUUAAUGGCAAAGCAUUAAUGCUGGGUUCAAUCUUCUGCACCACAUAAAAAAUAAAUAAAUCAAAUAAAGGUAUUGUGUCUAUCUACAAAGAAAAAAAGAAACAAUACUCAGAACCCUUAGCUUGGCCUAUCUUUACCCAGUGUUCCCCUGACUGCCCAGUCUCUGGCCCACAGAGAAGGGACACUGGACUGAGUCAGAGGUGGAAUUAGAAUCCUUUCUCUGUCAGCAAACCCUCCUGGUGAUAUGUGUCACUAUAGCCCUUAUUGUUCAGCCUGUCUCUUGGACUUAUUCCACUCCCAUGUUGUACUUCUUCAAGUGUGUGGUCUGCUUCAAGAUAUUGCACACUGUGCAUAAUCUAAGUGAUUAUGAAGCAACUCAUGUCUCUCAAGAGAGUACCCCCAUGAGAACAGUGAUUUUGACAGGAUGAGAUAAGAGUUUUUCCAUAAUAAUUUGGUAGAUUAAGGGAUUCAGCCUACUGAACUGAGGAGACUAAAAUGCAUCUGAAAUUUUUAUUUGUAGGGAUCUGAAUUUAUUUUAUCAACAAGUCUGGUCCUUUGGGGGCUAAACUUUCCAUUUGUCAUGGAAGUACCUGGGCCAUAGCUUGGCUCCAAAAUUGGAAGAAGACCAGCUUCCCAAAAUGAACAUCCUAAAUCAAAUUACCUCCUCUGAGUUUCCUAUUGAUUUAUACAGUGACAGGAUUAACUCAAUCAUAGGUGAACCAACCCUUUGCAUUGUGAUAAGAUCUGUAAUAAAACUUGGCUCGUCUUCCUGCAGGGAGGGGAUUUAUUACUCACUUGAGCUCCCACUCUCCAGAUGGCCCUGGCCACCCUGCUCAGUUCUGGGGCCAGGGGAGCCUACUGUUUUCCUGGAUUAAGGUCAGCCAGACUGAGAAGGGACAGACAUGGACCAGAAAGGUGACUGGAGCCUAGCUGUAUCUCAGAAGUUAGAAAAUGUUAAUAGAGAGAUGUGAUACUUAUACAGCAUCUUUCCAAACCAGAAGGUAGGAGUCUUCACCAGGAGUAUUAAAACUGUAUUCUCGUGCCCAUGGCUGACCUUUUACAGAAAUUACAGGAUUGCCCUGCCUGGAUCCAGCAUCACCCAUUCAGCCAAGACCAGUGGAGAGCAAAGAAUCAAAUUCUGUUCCAAAACAACUUGUGGGGUGUUUUGGAACAGAAUUUGAUUCAGAAUUACCUCCACUUAGGCAAUAGACAGUUGACUGACAUAUUGCAGUUUGGAGAAUGUGCUAGGUUCAGCGGCCAGUGUCUGAUAGGCAUCCACCUUUAGGAUAUCAGAGAAGAGCAUGCAUUCAAAACCCAGCUUCACCAUGCUCCUUACUUGUGUUCAACCUCAGGUGAGUUAAGCACUUCUGUGUCCUAUGCUAUAAAUGGCAGUGAUGUUGCUGUCCCUGUGCAGGGGCACUGUGAGGAUAAUAGGAGCUGACUGACCCAGAACUAACCCAGAACUUGGUGCCAGCAAACACUUCAGAAAUGGGAGCAACAGUGACCACUGCCCCAGCUGAGCACCUGGAACUCCCCAGUGGGAUGGAGUGGUUGGGGCUAUGUGCUGUGUCUUUCUGCAUUGCUCACAGGCAUCUCUGUAUACUGACCUCCAUCCAUGCUAAAUCUCUCCACCUUUAACGUCCUGAAGUCCAGAACAUCUUUUAAUUGGUGUUUUGCAUUCACUGCUGAUUGGGAUUCAAAUUGAGUUCUCCAGGGAGGGUUUGUGUUUGCUUCUGCCAGUGAUGUGGUGGCACCAGCUUUUGGGACUCCUUGAGGACCACUUGUAUAUUGAGACCUCAGGCUGAGAACCAGCUUCGGGUUCCAGUGAUAGUGCAGGGAUUUUCUCCCUAAUUCUCUCCUCCUCCACCAGGGUGAAGGAGGAGGCCAGACCGUUCCUUGUCAUUUCUUUCUUUAUAGUGGGUUUAUUUCUCAUUUUCUUCUACACUGAGAGUGUAGCUUUUCAUGGUCCCAGCUUUAUUGAGGGGUCUCCUGUGACACUUCCUAUUCUUAGACAUUUUUUUUUUCUUUCUUAGUGAUGCAUUAAAUAAUGAUGUACUUUCCAAUCAAGAGUAUCUCAAAUUUGAUGUCAUAGUAUCAAUGCCUUCAAAACAUAUCACAAUAAAGAUAACUAUUGAACUCUCUCAAAUGUAUUUGCCUUUUUAAUUUUAACCCCUUGUGGCAUCUAUUAACAUCCUACAGGGCUGGGGAUGU